AGAUUGAUGGCAGAAUGGCUUAUGCGGCUCCCUGUAAAGGAGUGUUUUUACAAUGUAGGUUCAAAUCCUACUCAAUCUA
rfam:Trichoplax adhaerens isolate Grell Red Sea mitochondrion, complete genome.